rnacentral:rRNA from 1 species
UACGUAGGGGGCAAGCGUUGUCCGGAAUUACUGGGCGUAAAGGGCGCGUAGGUGGCCUUCUAAGUUGGACGUGAAAUCCCUGGGCUCAACCCAGGAACUGCGUCCAAGACUGGGAGGCUUGAAUCCGGGAGAGGGAUGCGGAAUUCCAGGUGUAGCGGUGAAAUGCGUAGAUAUCUGGAGGAACACCGGUGGCGAAGGCGGCAUCCUGGACCGGUAUUGACACUGAGGCGCGGAAGCCAGGGGAGCAAACGGG